CUGGUUUGUAAACUUUGU
rnacentral:snRNA from 1 species